AUUGAACGCUGGCGGCAGGCCUAACACAUGCAAGUCGAACGAGUGGCGGACGGGUGAGUAAUGUCUGGGAAACUGCCUGAUGGAGGGGGAUAACUACUGGAAACGGUAGCUAAUACAGCAUACCAUCAGAUGUGCCCAGAUGGGAUUAGCUUGUGGGUGGGGUAACGGCUCACCAAGGCGACGAUCCCUAGCUGGUCUGAGAGGAUGACCAGCCACACUGGAACUGAGACACGUUCCAGACUCCUACGGGAGGCAGGAGUGGGGAAUAUUGCACAAUGGGCUCAAGCCUGAUGCAGCCAUGCCGCGUGUGUGAAGAAGGCCUUCGGGUUGUAAAGUACUUUCAGCGGGGAGGUGUUACUCGCAGAAGAAGCACCGGCUAACUCCGUGCCAGCCGCCGCGGUAAUAC
rnacentral:rRNA from 1 species